rnacentral:rRNA from 2 species
CGCCGUAUUAGCUAGUUGGUAAGGUAACGGCUUACCAAGGCAACGAUACGUAGCCGACCUGAGAGGGUGAUCGGCCACACUGGAACUGAGACACGGUCCAGACUCCUACGGGAGGCAGCAGUAGGGAAUCUUCCGCAAUGGGCGAAAGCCUGACGGAGCAACGCCGCGUGAGUGAUGAAGGUCUUAGGAUCGUAAAACUCUGUUGUUAGGGAAGAACAAAUUUGUUAGUAACUGAACAAGUCUUGACGGUACCUAACCAGAAAGCCACGGCUAACUACGUGCCAGCAGCCGCGGUAAUACGUAGGUGGCAAGCGUUAUCCGGAAUUAUUGGGCGUAAAGCGCGCGUAGGCGGUUUCUUAAGUCUGAUGUGAAAGCCCACGG